CUUUACUAUAGCUUGUCAUUGAAAUUAUGUUUGUGCUGUUUAGUAUAGGUGGGAGCCUUUGAAACUUGGGCGCUAGCUCAAGCGGAGGCGAAAUGUGAAAUACCACCCUGCAGGAAUGUGAUUUCUAACCACGGUUUAACCUACCGUGGGACAGUGGCUGGUGGGUAGUUUAACUGGGGCGGUUGCCUCCUAAAUGGUAACGGAGGCGUUUAUUAAGGUAUGCUAGGCAUGGAUGGAAAUCAUGCUGAUAGUGCAAACGCAUAAGCAUGCUUGACUGCAAGGGCGGCGACCCGCGCAGGUACGAAAGUAGAAGUUAGUGAUCCGAUGCGUUCGAGUGGAAGACGCAAAGCCCAACGGAUAAAAGUUA
rnacentral:rRNA from 1 species